GGGGGGGGCAAGCGUUGUUCGGAAUUACUGGGCGUAAAGGGCGCGUAGGCGGUUUGCUAAGUCGAAUGUGAAAACUCUGGGCUUAACCCAGAGCCUGCAUUCAAUACUGGCAGGCUAGAGUUCUGGAGGGGAUAGCGGAAUUCCUGGUGUAGCGGUGAAAUGCGUAGAUAUCAGGAGGAACACCGGUGGCGAAGGCGGCUAUCUGGACAGAGUCUGACGCUGAGGCGCGAAAGCUAGGGGAGCAAACAGGAUUAGAUACCCUGGUAGUCCUAGCCCUAAACGAUGGAUACUUGCUGUGACUGGGAUUGAAUCCAGUCGUGGCGAAGCUAACGCAUUAAGUAUCCCGCCUGGGGAGUACGGUCGCAAGGCUGAA
rnacentral:rRNA from 1 species